rnacentral:rRNA from 1 species
AUUGAACGCUGGCGGCAGGCCUAACACAUGCAAGUCGAACGGUAACAGAAAGCAGCUUGCUGCUUUGCUGACGAGUGGCGGACGGGUGAGUAAUGUCUGGGAAACUGCCUGAUGGAGGGGGAUAACUACUGGAAACGGUAGCUAAUACCGCAUAACGUCGCAAGACCAAAGAGGGGGACCUUCGGGCCUCUUGCCAUCGGAUGUGCCCAGAUGGGAUUAGCUAGUAGGUGGGGUAAAGGCUCACCUAGGCGACGAUCCCUAGCUGGUCUGAGAGGAUGACCAGCCACACUGGAACUGAGACACGGUCCAGACUCCUACGGGAGGCAGCAGUGGGGAAUAUUGCAUAAUGGGCGCAAGCCUGAUGCAGCCAUGCCGCGUGUAUGAAGAAGGCCUUCGGGUUGUAAAGUACUUUCAGCGGGGAGGAAGGGAGUAAAGUUAAUACCUUUGCUCAUUGACGUUACCCGCAGAAGAAGCACCGGCUAACUCCGUG